rnacentral:rRNA from 1 species
GACGAACGCUGGCGGCGUGCCUAAUACAUGCAAGUAGAACGCUGAAGGAGGAGCUUGCUUCUCUGGAUGAGUUGCGAACGGGUGAGUAACGCGUAGGUAACCUGCCUGGUAGCGGGGGAUAACUAUUGGAAACGAUAGCUAAUACCGCAUAAGAGUAGAUGUUGCAUGACAUUUGCUUAAAAGGUGCAAUUGCAUCACUGCCAGAUGGACCUGCGUUGUAUUAGCUAGUUGGUGGGGUAACGGCUCACCAAGGCGACGAUACAUAGCCGACCUGAGAGGGUGAUCGGCCACACUGGGACUGAGACACGGCCCAGACUCCUACGGGAGGCAGCAGUAGGGAAUCUUCGGCAAUGGACGGAAGUCUGACCGAGCAACGCCGCGUGAGUGAAGAAGGUUUUCGGAUCGUAAAGCUCUGUUGUAAGAGAAGAACGAGUGUGAGAGUGGAAAGUUCACACUGUGACGGUAUCUUACCAGAAAGGGACGGCUAACUACGUG